AGGAUUCCCUCAGUAGCUGCGAGCGAACAGGGAAAAGCCCAGCACCGAAUCCCGUGGUCGACAUCGGCCACCGGGAAAUGUGGUGUUAGGGAGGAUCCGUUUAUCCUGAGAUCGUGCGGCGCGUCCAAGUCCUUCUUGAACGGGGCCACAGCCCAUAGAGGGUGCCAGGCCCGUAGCGACCGUUGCCGAUUGCGGGAGGAUCUCUCCUCAGAGUCGGGUUGCUUGAGAGUGCAGCCCUAAGUGGGUGGUAAACUCCAUCUAAGGCUAAAUAUGACCACGAGACCGAUAGCGAACAAGUACCGUGAGGGAAAGUUGAAAAGCACUUUGAAGAGAGAGUUCAAGAGUACGUGAAACCGUUCAGGGGUAAACCUGAGAAACCCGAAAGGUCGAAAGAGGAAAUUCAUUCGCGUUUCGAUCGCUGAAGAUGGAUGUUUGUAUGACGGAAGAUGCGUUUCGGCGUAUGAGUCCGCAUCUCAUGUUCAUCGAGUCGGUAUCGAACGCGUGCACUUUUCCUCUAGUAGGACGUCGUGAUCCGUUGGGUGUCUGUCUAAGACUCGGGGUGGAGACCACGUGAUUUUUCGAUUAUGUGGACCCUCGAUGUUCCGACAGACUCGCUCGACGGUAUAAAUAUGGCGCGAGGCCGCUACUUAAGUUAGCGUUCGGCCCGUAGCAAGCACGUUCCGUGUUUGAUGGCGAUCGGACCUAGUGCCGAUUCUGUCCCGGAACGACUGUUGGUUACGGUGUUCUCGAACAGACCUCGUUUGAAACGCCGAUCAACGACGCUAUA
rnacentral:rRNA from 1 species